rnacentral:rRNA from 1 species
GGGUGUGAUCAUACUGGCAUUAAUGCACUGGAUCCCAUCAUAACUUCGCAGCUAAACAUGCUUGGGAUAGAGUAGUAUUGGGAUGGGUGACCUCCAGGGAAGUCCUAGUGUUGCACCCU